rnacentral:lncRNA from 1 species
CGCUUUAUCUGGAAAGUUCACCGCAACACCUGCCAUUCGGUACAUCAACAGUUCUGGAGUUCGCUUCACGAAUGUGCGACAUGAGGGCAGAGAUCUGCAAGACGCCACGUUUUCUGCUGCCUUUUACUGAGCGUUUCACAAAGAAAUCGCAAGUUUGAUCUCUAAUAUUAUUAUUAUUAUUAAUAUACAUGUGAUCUGUGACUUAUUCUGGAUUUGCACAAGCCUCUGCAUAAUCAACACAAACCCCAUGUUUGCACUGAAACCCCGGAUUUAAGGAAUACUCCGUCCCCUCCCAGAAACUUUCCCAGCAGUGUUUAAUGCUGAUAUAAAAAGCAGCAGCUUAGCUUUGAUCGGAGCUGAAAGUACAGCUUGUCUUUUGUGUUUAACUCAACGUCCGGAGCGCUGGAUCAUUCCUGCCCUCUCUGCUCUCCUCCCGCCAUGCUGGACUUCAUAAUAAACUGCACUCGCUCCGGCUGAACUGAUCAACCGCUAAGUUGCUCUGGAAGGAUAUAAAUGUCCCUGUGGGUAAAAAGUGCUCUGGAAACUGCUGGAGUUCAGAUGACAGAAGAUUAUUGGAGAAAAAACCCACAGUAAAACAGAAGAUGGCAAAGUAAGUAUUUCAUCUGUUUUUAUUUAUAACAGUAAAAUUAUACGUAGUGAAAUUGUGAUUCAUAGAUG